rnacentral:rRNA from 1 species
GUGGGGAAUAUUGCACAAUGGGCGAAAGCCUGAUGCAGCAACGCCGCGUGAGGGACGACGGCCUUCGGGUUGUAAACCUCUUUUAGUAGGGAAGAAGCGAAAGUGACGGUACCUGCAGAAAAAGCACCGGCUAACUACGUGCCAGCAGCCGCGGUAAUACGUAGGGUGCAAGCGUUAUCCGGAAUUAUUGGGCGUAAAGAGCUCGUAGGCGGUCUGUCGCGUCUGCUGUGAAAACUGGAGGCUCAACCUCCAGCCUGCAGUGGGUACGGGCAGACUAGAGUGCGGUAGGGGAGAUUGGAAUUCCUGGUGUAGCGGUGGAAUGCGCAGAUAUCAGGAGGAACACCGAUGGCGAAGGCAGAUCUCUGGGCCGUAACUGACGCUGAGGAGCGAAAGCGUGGGGAGCAAACAGGAUUAGAAACCCUGGUAGUCC